GAUGAACGCUGGCGGCGUGCCUAAUACAUGCAAGUCGAGCGAACAGACGAGGAGCUUGCUCCUCUGACGUUAGCGGCGGACGGGUGAGUAACACGUGGAUAACCUACCUAUAAGACUGGGAUAACUUCGGGAAACCGGAGCUAAUACCGGAUAAUAUAUUAAACCGCAUGGUUAACUAUUGACAGACGGUUUUGCUGUCACUUAUAGAUGGAUCCGCGCCGCAUUAGCUAGUUGGUAAGGUAACGGCUUACCAAGGCGACGAUGCGUAACCGACCUGAGAGGGUGAUCGGCCACACUGGAGCGGAGACACGUUCCAGACUCCUACGGGAGGCAGCAGUAGGGAAUCUUCCGCAAUGGGCGAAAGCCUGACGAAGCAACGCCGCGUGAGUGAUGAAGGUCUUCGGAUCGUAAAACUCUGUUAUUAGGGAAGAACAAAUGUGUAAGUAACUAUGCACGUCUUGACGGUACCUAAUCAGAAAGCCACGGCUAACUACGGG
rnacentral:rRNA from 1 species